rnacentral:rRNA from 1 species
ACUAACGCUGGCGGCGUGCCUAACACAUGCAAGUCGAACGGGGUAGCAAUACCUAGUGGCAGACGGGUGAGUAACGCGUAGGUAAUGUGCCCUCCUGCGGGGGAUACCGUUCCGAAAGGGACGUUAAUACCGCAUAACAUACCACAGGGGCAUCUCUGAGGUAUCAAACUUCCGGGGUAGGGGGAGCAGCCUGCGUUCUAUCAGCUUGUUGGUGAGGUAACGGCUCACCAAGGCUACGACGGAUAACUGGUCUGAGAGGAUGACCAGUCACACUGGGACUGAGACACGGCCCAGACUCCUACGGGAGGCAGCAGUGAGGAAUAUUGCGCAAUGGGCGAAAGCCUGACGCAGCGACGCCGCGUGGAGGAUGAAGGCCUUCGGGUUGUAAACUCCUGUCAGUGGGGAAGAGAACGGACGGUACCCACUGAGGAAGCUUCGGCUAACUACGU